CGAGGCAAAGGCUUGGUCAACGACACGAGGUAAAGGCUUGGUUAACACACGAGGUAAAGGCUUGGUCAACGACACGCGGUACAGGCUUGUUCAACAACACGAGUAAUAACGAGGGACACGAGGGUCAGGACACGAGGUAAAGGCUUGGUCAACGACACGAGGUAAAGGCUUGGUCAAUGACACGAGGUAAAGGUUUUGUCAAGGACACGAGGUAAAGGCUUGGUCAACGACACGAGGUAAAGGCUUGGUGAAGGACACGAGGUAAAGGCUUGGUCAAGGACACAAGGUAAAGGCUUGGUUAAUGACACGAGGUGAAGGCUAAAUCAAGGAUAUGAGGUGAAGGCUUGGUCAAUGACACGAGGUAAAGGCUUCGUCAAUGACACAGGGUAAAGGCUUGGUCAACGACAUGAGGUGAAGGCUUGGUCAACGACAUGAGGUGAAGGCUUGGUCAACGACACGAGGUAAAGGCUUGGUCAACGACACGCGGUAAAGGCUUGGUCAACGAGACGCGGUAAAGGCUUGGUCAAUGACACGAGAUAAAGGCUUGGUCAAUGACAUGAGGUAAAGGCUUCGUCAAGGACACAAGGUAAAGGCUUGGUCAACGAUAGAGGCAAGUCAACUGAGCGUAAUACUUCGCAAUGGUGUGUGUGUGAGAGAGUCUCU
ensembl:lncRNA